ACAUUUCAUGUGUCAGUAACUCAUGAUGUACGGUGAAAUUAAAGUCUGACUGUUCUUUCUUCCUUUGUGCACUUUCCCACAAUGUCAUCUUGCAUUAUCUGGCUGAUUUGCAUGGACUAUUGCUUCUCAGAGACUGUGCAAAGUGGACAAAUGAUUGUGUCAGCUUAAUGCAGUCAUGCCGAAUGCAGUCAGUGUCUCUGUGGAGCCUUCGAGAAUACCCAACAGUUGCUCAGCCUGAGCGAAG
rnacentral:lncRNA from 12 species